UACGGAGGGUGCAAGCGUUGUUCGGAAUUAUUGGGCGUAAAGGGCGUGCAGGCGGUCAGGUAAGUCAGAUGUGAAAGCCCUGGGCUCAACCCAGGAAGUGCAUUUGAAACUACUUGACUUGAGUACGGGAGAGGACGGGGGAAUUCCCGGUGUAGAGGUGAAAUUCGUAGAUAUCGGGAGGAAUACCAGUGGCGAAGGCGCCCGUCUGGACCGAUACUGACGCUGAGACGCGAAAGCGUGGGGAGCAAAC
rnacentral:rRNA from 1 species